AAUAAUAUUCAUAAAAUUAUAUAUACGUCAAACAGCAGUUCUAAAUUCUAAAAGAUCUUCAACAAUAUGUGGCCCAAAAUACUAUUGCCAAUUAUUUUGGUUCUGUUGUUAUACAGAUUGUCACAUUUACCUGUUGUAUGUGACAAAACUUGCUAUCUGAGCACUGAAAACAUAAUUCUCACCGAUAUGAUUAAGGGGGCCAUAAUUAAUUUAGUUAUGACGAUACCAUUUAUAUGUACAGUACUUAUUGCAGGAAGGAGAAAUUUUAAGAACUAUCACCAAUCCAACACUGAGGACGUGCAGCAAUCAACUAUAAAUUUUGGGACACAACAAAUCAUUUCCUUAGUAUGACUACAAUAUGACAGUACAACCAACUUUUGAAGAAUUUAUGGAUCAGAUAGUUGCAUAUAUAAAAAAAUCCAAGCGAACCUUAAUAAAGCAAUCCAAUUCACAUUCAGGCACCAAAGCUGUUGAAUCCAUAAUAAAAACGAAAAUUUGGAAACGAUUAGAAUUUUACACUAUUUGGUUUUGGACUCAGAAAAUCGGAAAUACUAAACAAUAUGACCGUUUUUCAUUUAUACAGAUGACCGUUUAUCUUAUACAGAUCUUAUUUCAAUAAAAUUAAAAUUAUAAAUAAAUUAAACGUGAUUGAUUUUUACCGCCAUUCCUGUAAGAUGUACAUUGGAACGGAGCAGACCUGAAUGAUUUUGAUAUUUUUUAUUAUAUUUUCAUAAGCAAAUAUAAAUAUAUGUUUGUACUACCUAAACAUAACAAAGCAAACUCUACCUUCGGUACACUGAGAAAUAUAUGGAUAUCGUGCCAAAUAUUUCAUAAAACAAAACUCCUCAUCUUCGAAUCAAUCUUAAAAUCUGUUCGCUUCUAUGGCUAUGAAACAUGGAAAGCUUCCAACCGCACUGAGUCAAAAAUACAGACCUUCAUAAACAAGUGCUUUCGCAGAAUAUUUGGCAUAAGAUGGCCUGAAAGAAUAAGAAAUGAAAACUUGUGUAGCCAGCAAGAAACACAGCAAGAAACCAUUCCAGUUCAGAUUGGUUGACGGAUGAUGGAUUGACCAUUCACUUCGAAGAUCUCCGAACCAUAUUGCAAGAACAGCACUCAGAUAGAACCUCUAAGGCUCUAGAAAACCUGGCGCACCAGCACAAACAUGAAUCACAACUAUAGACAGAGAACUUAAUAAUUCAAAUUAUAACUGUCAGAUAAUUUUAUUAGCACGCACUCUUAACACUUAUUGAACAGCCAACCUGAAACCAAUUAAAACGACAUAUACUUAUAAAAAUCGCAUUCAUGCUUGUGAAUUGGAGAUUUUACGUAUGCAGAAAUCCAAAAUAUGCUAUAAUACUUUUCCUCUCAACUGUGUGCACUAGAAAAUAUAGGGCAAAAACCACAUCAACCUUACACCCGUGUUAGACUUGUAUAGUCACAUAAUACUCUCUGUCAUAAUAGUAUUUAACAUUAAUUCUUUUUAACCGCUAGUUUUAUUUGGACCAUACUAAUCUAACCCCCACCCCCAUUACUUUCUUAUAGUCUCAUAACAUUCCAUAACCUAUCUUAUACAUAUAAUGCUAUAAAAUUAUUUUUUUUAAUAGUGGUUUAUUUUUAGAUCACACCAAUCUUCAACCCCCAUUUAUAUUCUAUAGUCACUUUAUAAAUACCACCUCGAACAAAAAGGUUCAGGAAUUCAUAUAUUAAAAACCCAAGCUUAUUCCGGAUUAUCGAUUGUCCUCUUCAAAAUAUUCUAAAUUGACUAAAACGUUUUUAUGCCAGCUCUAUAUCCAAUUCCCAAACCAAUUCUUAGAAUUGGAUUUUUGUUUAACCAAGAAACCAUGGUUUCUUAAGUAAUUCAAACCGGAAGAUAUCAUAGAGAGCCAAAUCAAGUCAGUUGACUGUUCGGUAAUAUUCAUACCAAUCUUCUAGUCGAAAAUUCGCGAGUAAUGAUAGCAGUGUGUAAAGGUAUCGUUUUCCAAUUGAAAAAUAGUAAAAAAUCGGAAAAACAUACCGAAUCCGACGUAAUCUUGCCGAAAUAGCAUUCAUAAUUUUCAACCUUACUGACCUAGUUGCCCAUUACAGACGUGAGUCUUUUUUAUGCGCAUCGAGUAUCCUACGCCAGCCAGCUGGAUCAGUUGCUUGCUGUCGCCAGUUGGUAGUACGGAACGCCCCUAAAUCGUUGAUGCGAAUCUUCCACACGAAGAUGCGAAUAUCAAGCUAUGACACUUAAAUUUACAGGGCAAAAUUGAUUGAAGAUUCCAUCAGGCUUUUUGUGUUGUGGUUAUAUAUAUAUGAGUAAUAA